GAUGAGCCAGAUUUAGCACUUUUAUUAAAGUGCAAAAUGAUUUUAACUGAAGAGUUUGAUCAUGGCUCAGAUUGAACGCUGGCGGCAGGCUUAACACAUGCAAGUCGAGCGGGGAGAUGUAGCUUGCUACAUCACCUAG
rnacentral:rRNA from 1 species